CCUACCUUGGCCUCCCAAAGUGCUGGGAUUACAGGCAUGAGCCACUGCACCCAGCCAAAAUUGGUUUGAUUAUACAUCAUUUUGCUUAGUUGCAGUUUCUAAGAAUACCUAUUAAAGACAGUUGGUGAGGACUUACUGUAUAAUGCUGCGGGUUUCUUGGAUAUUGGGCUGUAGUGGAGGUUCUGGGAAAAACCACUUGCCUGAGGGUUUACAAAACAAAGCCAUGGUGGGAGGUAAGAUUUCAAGGGGGUGGGAAGAGAGCUGGAACUGUGGCAUGCCAGGGUUAUCACUGUAUGCCUUGCCCGAGUGCUAAAAUAACUUCACAAUAAACACUUUCAAAGCAUUUACUAUCAGAACAAUACGGACAUAAUGAAGUAGAAAGCAAGUCCGACAGUGUUUUGAGAUGAGACAUGAGACCUUCGGUGUUUCUCUGCCCAGCUCCCCCGGGCAUGCUUGAGUGUCUUCUACCUUUAGGGGAGCCACAGAUGGAGGAGUCUUUGAGGGGACUAAAGGAGAGGAUUCAUCCCUAAAAACUCAGAACUUGUGAAAGGGUCUGGAUAAAGGUAAGGUGGCUUAAUUUGGAUAAAUGUUGGCUUAUCAAAGAGCCUUUAUCCUUUCCCUGUCAGUGUGAUUUAUUCCAGGACAUUCAGGUUUGAAGCAGAAAACGCUUGCCUGAAGUUGGCGUGCUUGAAGAUUGCAGUUUGGGUCCAGUCAAUCUUUACAAGACCCAGGCAACUUUCAUGAACAGCAGAAAAGGACUCGCAGUGAACUUCCUGGGGAUACUCUAAAAGAAAGUGGCAUGGCAGUAUACCAGAACAAGAAGACAGAUGGCUUAAGUGGGACCUCAUGUGUCUGCUGGGUCCACGGAGGCACACAGGGCAAACCUACCUAGUAAGAGGAGCUGCCGAUGGAUCACAAAGUAAAAAUACAUGCUACGCGUGAAAAACACAUUUGCACACAAGGAGGAAAAGACGUUACAAUUGUAAUACUAGAAAAGGCAGAUUUCAAGGCAAAAAGCAUGAGCUGAGAGCACUUUAUGACAGUGAAGGGGGCAGUUUACUCAAUGUUUUGGUCAGACUAACCUGGAAAAAACAAAACUCCAGGGAUCAAAUUUCUUUUGUACAGGUUUUGUUUUUUACUAUUAUUUUUAAAGACAGGGUCUCACUCCCGUCUGGAAAGCAGUGCACCAUCGCUCACUGCAGCCUCAAAUUCCUAGCCUCGGGAUCGUCUAACCUCCCAAAGCAUGUGCCACAUGACUGGCUACUUUUUUUAUUUUUUUUAAAGUAGAGACGGUUUUGUCAUGUUGCCAGGCUGGUCUCGAACUCCUGGGCUCAAAGAAUCCACCAGCCUCAGCCUCCUAAAGUGCUGGGAUUACAGGCAUGUGCCACUGCACCCAGCCUGUUUUUGUCUUUGUAAUUGUUUCUUUAGUCACCAUAAUCUUUUCAGGUUUUCUGUUUCUUGAAUUAAUUUUAAAAAAUCUCCAAAUCUGAAAACUUAGAUGAAUAAACGGCUUUCUGGGAAAAUAAAUAAGAAUUAUCAAAACGAAUCCCCAGGGGACAGAAAAUCCAAGUAGAUAAAAUAACAAAUAGACUGAGGAAGCCAGCAAGGGGCAACAGUCCCUGCAAAGAAGGAACAAGUGACUGGCCAGACCUGUGAGGACCAGCCACCUCCAGGGCUAAGGCAGCUGUUCCACAGCCUAGGAAAGGCAGGAGGUAAAGCUUCCAAAUUCUCCACAAAGCCAGCUUUCUGUUGCCAAAGCCUAACCCUGAGAGCACAAUCAAAGAGAACUACAUAUCUGCAUGAAAUCUCAACAACAGACUCCAAGAAAACUACUUACCCGAAUGCAAUCUCAGUAACAGACUCCACAGCGAGACGCCGCAGAUAAGUAGAAUCUACGAAAAACCGCCGGUCAUGUCCAUGGAUGCCGAAAGCAACGGGAUGAAACAUCACACCGUUCCUGAUGCUGUCUUUAGAAACAGUGGGCCACUUUCACCACCAUUAAUUUACACUGGUUUUUAAAAACCAGGUACAAUUAGACAAAAGGAAAAAAUGAAAGUAUAAAAAUCAGAAAGAAGUGAGUAGACUUCUCAGUGAGAAGGGACAGUCCCAGAGAAUUCAGUAAUACACAGUCAAAUAUAAAUUUAUGUGCCAAAAUCUAGUUUAAAAAAUAGAAUAAAAAAUGACCCCCUUGUAACAGCAGUUAGAGGCAAAAUACUCUGUAAUAAUUUUCUCAACUUGGAGCUCUGCUACUUAUAUUACACAAAAUAAAUUACAGAGGGCACAAAGAGUUACACAUAAUUAUACUAUAAAAAAGAUUCCGAGGAGGGAAGGCCUUUCUAAACAAAACCAAGUCCAUAAGGUGAAAAGAUUGAUAACUACACAUAAAAGGGUUUGACUUUUUCCUAUGAAGGGGAACAAUCAGAAAGUCAAAUGACAAACUGAGGAAAAUGUUUGCCACAAAGAGGCUAAUGUGUUAUAAUAAAUAAAUGCCUUCAAAUAAAUAGUAAAGACUGACAAACCCAUUAUUAAAUUGAGAGAAAAGAAAAAGCAAUUCACAGAAAAAUAUUGAUGGCUUUUAAACAUGUGUAAGAUGUUUAAGUUUACUGGUAAUAAGAGAAAUUACACAGUAAAACUACAAUGCAGUGCCACCUGUCGCCUAUCUACCCAGCAAAAGUAAAGUUUGGUAACAUGCCCUCCAAGGCGCUGUGUGGCAGCAAGACAUGGACAGGUACUCCUAGACAGCUGAGGCGAGCAGAAAUCCUUCUUUAGGGAGUGACUUGGCAAUAUCCAACCAAAUACCCCACGCCCCUCACCAAGCCAGCAAUUCCACUUCUAGGAGGCAGCUCUACAUGUUUCACAGACACAAGGCCAGUCACCAAAGCACUGCUCUUAGUCGCAAAAGAGGCUUCUGUUUCAGACAUGUUGACGCUUCCACUGCAAAACGCUUACUAGUGCUGGAUAAAUAUAACUAACAAACUUUUAAGGGCAUUGCUGAAUUCACAUAGUAAGUGACUUCCCCCGGACCUGAGCUGAAAACCAGAUGGGAGAGGGUGAGCUGCAACUUCAGUUGCCAGCGUGGUGGGGGAGGCUGCUGGCAAGCGCCAGGCUCAGGUCCGUGGGUUCAUCAAACACACUGAAGGGCCACCCAAGGCAGGGAGGGGAGUGUGGAGAUUCCUGCUUUAAAUACAAAAGCAUGAAAGUAUAGUCCCUGAAAUUAAGUUCGGGAGACUGGCUGGAAGCAGAUCAGAGAGUGUGUGAAUUAGAAGAAAAAUCUGAGGAAUGGGGGGUUAAGAGACAUGAGGGACACAGUGGUGGUGCAGCAUGCACCCACAGUCCUGGAAGGAGAAAACAGUGCAGAUAGUUAAGAGCUCAUGUCUUCCCAGAACUAAAGAAAGACAUGCAUGCCGACUCAAUGCACACUAAUCAAUAAAGGAAAAGAAAUACAUACCUAAGAGUGUAACUUAAAAAAUGGGAAAACACAGACAAAGAGGUCUUAAAAACAGCCUGAGAGAAAAAGACAUGACCUAUUAAGGAAAAAUAAUUAUACUGACAGGAAAAACUAGAAACAACACUUAAGCCGUCAUGAAUGGGAAUGACUGGAUGUAGGUGGCAGGAUUACCUAGCUCAUCCACUGAGUGCUGGUUAAAGCAAUCACGGUACAUCCACACAGUGGGACCCGGCGUAGUCAUUAGAGAAUGGGCAGAACCACACAGGCCGACUGGCAGCCGUGUACACAGGCAUGUGCCGGGGGACAUGUUCAGGCUGUGAGUGUGUGGGCGCGCCCUGCAGAACGCGCAGCAUUGAGCAGUCGCAAUCAGGGAGGCUGACGAGGCCUCUUGGGAACAGGGACCCACCUCACCCUCUAUGCUACCUUGCUUUUCAGUCCCAUUAUGAAUGUGCAUACUUCCUGUUUAAAUAAAACCGAACAAUUUUAAAGACAAAGUUCUGGAAGCACAUAACUUGAACAUUAACAGCAAUUACCUUGGAGAAGAAUGAGGGUAAUAAAGGAGGCUUUUGUGUUUUAUUCUGGACACUGCCAUGUUUAAAAAACAAGAAUUCAUCCGUGACGGGGAGGCCUUCAGCGGUACUGGUCUCCCUCUGUUUCCUGAGCUGAGAGGUGGAGGUGUGGGCAUUCUCUGUUGUUCUUGAAACUGUACACAUACCUUCUAGAUGCUCCCAUACAUCUGUUCUGUUUCAUAAUUUAAAAACAAUACUUUCAUCUAUUUCUUAGAUAAGGUGAAAUAAAAUAGGAUGGUAACAGCACAUCGUUUGAGAACACGGAGGAGGGACUGUUUCUUCUUCCUGCUAGGCCAUGUGAGCUGACAAGGCAGCGCAGGAGAACAGAGAGGUCCGUUGCUACAAAUGCUGUUCAGUCCCGGAUCUGCCAGUGAGGGAUCUGGGACCAGAAAGACGCAGAGAGCAUGAAGACUACUCUGAAAACCAAGGCAUCUCUCGGGAGCACUUACAGACACCUCUCCUUAGGCACGUGUAGGUAAGAGAACUCGGGCUGUGUGGGCAGAGAAGAGAGAAGAAUAAAUGCUGGAAAGGGAACUCUGACUUUAGGCCAGAAUGGGAACUUGAAAAGGACUGGGGAAGGGGGAGCGGAAAUGUUUACCAAGUAGUUUUCAGUGCAUAUUUGGUUAAUCAGAGUCUAUUCUGCUAUAGUGAUUUCCAUAAAGAGCCCCUCUGUUGAAUAUUUAUACUCCAUAAUUUACAGUUUGGCUGUUAAGGAGACAAAGGCAAACACAAAUUUGGUCCAGAAGUUCAAAGUUUGCCAUCUGUUUUCCUAUUGUAUUUAGAUACCAGUAUGGAUGGCUCCAAACAAAAUAAACAAAUAAACCAAAAGAUACAGCCUUAGUGUCUUUUACAUCACUAAGGAAAAAAAAAUAGGCCAAACCAGCUUUAAUGUCUCCCCAUAAGAAAAAAGGAAAACCAUUUUUCUGACAUCUCCUUAGAGAAGCACCGCUCUGGCUUCUUGUCAACAGACAGAAACAGCAGACAGCACAGCAUGCCAAGUCCACCCAAGCCAUUCAGAUUCACAUGAAGAAACAGGUACCUGCCUCGGACAUCUGAUAGCACGCAGCACCGGCCCGAACGCCGUGCACCUUGGCAAAGCCCAUCGUCGGCUCAGCCCUUGAACCAAAUACUCGAUGCUGGGAAACAGGUAGCACAGCAAAUGGCACCAAAACAUGCCAAGACAGCCGAUUCCAGGGACAAAGAGGAGCCAACGGUAGAUAUUGUGAAUCCCUAUCUAGUGAGUAUUUCAUCAACUUUGCCCAUUGAAAAGAAAAAUAAUUGGUCUGAAAGCUGUAAUUGUAUUAUGUUUAAUAUUCAUGGUUGGGCUUGGAGGACGGUUCCAACACUCCCUCUCUCCAGCCCCUCUCUAAUGAAAAUCACACCAUAGGAGUCGGCUGUAGCCCACCAAUUAAAACAAAAGACACCAGAACCUUCCAAAGACUCCAACAGAGGAGCAUCCAUCUGAUGGGCAGGAAAACGUGCUGGAAGUGAGAGGGAGGCACGCUCUGGUUGGUCCUGUGUUAAGAGCUUUGAAUAACUUAUUAUAACACUUGCAGAUGGAGCAAAUGCAACAUUUACACCCCAAUCACUCUCUCUCUAACAGCAGGCAGCAGUGGCACGAGCACAGCACACAACUUUAUACUUGUCAGGGCAAGAAGCAAGCGCUGAGACUCUGUAAUUGGGGGGUCACAACUCAGGGCGCGCUUCCUAUUGGCUUGGAUUAAAUACUCCCAUAUGAUAAUGAGGCACACUGUAUCUGACGGCAAGCUGAAGCCUAUUCAGUGUCUGGCUCGGCAGUUUCAUUAAGGAGGACCUGACCUUCAGCUAUAUUUCUAUCCAGAAAAUAAAGGGAACAAGCAAUAAGGUGUUACAAUGGAGGCUUUUUUUUUUUUUGAACGAAUUAAUUUUUAAAAUAGUAUUUUUUUAAAAAAUAAAUCAAUACAUGAUUCUGUUUGGUCUCACUGAACCUUGGGCUAUUAAAGAGGAUUUUAAAUAUAACCUUAUAUGCCAAAAUCAAUAGCUUUAUCUACAAAGCACUGACGAUGGCCUUCGGUGAAAGAUUCAUUUUAAACAGCAACUAGAAAAACACGUAUUUUCAGGUAGAAGUGGAAAUACAUGUUUUGCUAGUUGCUGUUCAAUCCAACUAGGCUAGUUUAAUCCAACUAGGCUAGGCUUAGUGCUUUCUGUAUUUUAAGUCUGUACCUCUGAAGUUUAGAGUUCUCUGUAAGUAGAACAUAAAAUUCUAUAUGGCCAAGAGUAACAAGCCCUUCAGACUGGUCACUGAACCUUUCUGGUCCAGCAUUAGAUGGUCUUGAAGAGAUCUGCUAGACCCAACAUUCUGAGAUCCAUAACAAGUCCACCCAGUGAACAAAGAUGAUAACGUGUAUACGGCCAAAAAAGGGGCACUGGAUCCCAAGUUGGAAAUACUAAAACUUCUAGUUAUUAACUAAGUCAUAUGAAUAUGUCCUAUAUCCAUAUUGCUACUUUCAUAGACAGUGAUGCUGUUGGACAUGCCUGACAUUUGGAAGUUUACUGUAUAUUACUUAUUUUAAAAAAGGUGAGGUAUUGUAAUCAAAAAGCUGUAGGUAAUCCAGGCAGUGUGGCAGUGCCAGAACACAGACAUACAGAUCAAUGGAAUAGAACUGAGAGUCCAGAAUAAACCCUCAAAGUUACAGCCCACUGAUUUUCAACAGUGGUGCCAAGACAACUGAAUGGGGCGAGAAUUGUCUUUUCAACAGAUGGUGCCAGGAUAGCUGAAUAUUCACAUGCAAAAGAAUGAAGUUUAGGUCUCUACCUCACACCAUAUAUAAAAAUUAACUCCAAAUGGAUCACAGACGUCAGCGUAAGAGCCAAAACUAUAAAACCCUCUGAAGAAAACUUAGGAGUUAAUCUUCAUGAGCCUGGGUUAAGAAAUGGUUCCUUAGCUAUGACAUCAACAGCACAAAUGACAAAAGGAAAAAAUAGAUAAAUGGAAUGUCAUCAAAAUUGAAAACUUGUGUGCUUCAAAGAAUACGAUCUAGAAAGUGAAAAGACAACCCACAGAAUGGGAGAAAAUAUUUUGCAAAUCACAUAUCUGAUGAGAGAUUUGUACAUGGGCUAUAUAAACAACUCUAAUAAGCACGUGAAAAGAUAUUCACCACCACUGGCCGUCAGAGAAAUGCAAAUCUAGAAUUCAAGACAGUAGCAAGGGUUGGUGACAAGGUAGAGAAACUGGAACCCUCAAUCCAGGGCUGGUGGGAAUGUAAAAUGGUACAGCCACUAUAGAAGAGUCUGGCAAUUCCUCAAAUGGUUCAACACAGAAUUACCACAAAAGCCAGCAAUUCUACUCCCAGUGUAUUUCCCCAGUGGAACUGAAAAUAUGCAUCCACAUACAAACGUACACAUAAAUGAUAACAGUAACAUUAUCAUAGUCAAAAAGUGGAAGCAACCCAAAUGUCCAUUAACUGAUGAAUGGAUAAAGAAAACGCAGUAUAUCUGUACAAGGGAAUAUUACUUGGCCAGAAAAAGGAAUGACCUACUGAUAUAUUCUACAAAUUGGGUUUAUCUUAAAAACAUGCUAAGUGGAAUAAGCCAGUCCUAGAAGGUCACAAGGUACAUCAUUCUAUUUAUAGGAGAUGCUCAGGCAAAUGCUUAGAGAAAUAAAGUAGAUUAGUGGUUGCUUAAAGCUGGAGGGAUGAGGAAAAUGGGGAGUGCCGUUAAUGGGUAUGGGGUUUCUAUUUGGGGUGAUGAAAAUGUUCUAAAAUGGACUGUAGUGGUGACUGCACAACCUCGUGGACCUACUAAAAACACGAAAUUGUACGAUUUAAAUUGGUGAAUUAUGUGGCAUGUAAAUUAAAUCUCAUUAUAGCUCCUAAAAAAUAAACUUGAGACUAUGGGGGAAAACACUGGAAUUUGCUGGCUCAAUGACUGUUGCCUUAGCAACCCAAUUACAGCCUGGCAUUUGCCCUUAGCACCAACUCUUGGUUCUCCACAGCAUGGAUUAGCUUCUCCCUGCUAGAUCCCCAGUUUCACUGGCGAAAAUGAGCAGAUCACAGAUGAGAAGGCUGAGAGCUACAGAAUGGGAAGGGCCCUCAUUUAAUACAGCCCUCAACCACCGGCUACAGUGCUGACUUAAGUCACUGAAAAGAAAGGAGGGCGUUCUGAUUCUGGCCAGGUUGGAAUAAGCCCACUACUGCCUCUCUCCUGCUGACUGCCAGCAAAACUUAUGGACAAAACACAAAUACAAACGCCUGAGGACUCUGGAGAGUCAACCCAAGCUGAUGGAUUGCAGAGGAGAGUCAAACCUAUGGAAGUGGCCAUAUGGGGAGGAGUUUCCCAUUUUUUCCCUUUUCCUCUUGCAGCCUUGCCCUGAGUAUGGGCUACAAUAUGCAGCACUGUGAGGUGGUACAGGACGCCAAAACUCCAAUAGAAACUCCAGCCUUCUGACCAGAGGAACAGAGGGGGGCCCUGCAGUCCCCAAAGAAUAGGGAUGAGGGUUGUUGUGGGUUUUUUCCUCUUUCUUGUGGCUGUGUCCCAAGGACAGUUCCUAGUCACAUGCUGCAUGGUGGCAGCAAUGCAGGUAGGUAGAACUCUGACAGAAACCCCAUCUUUCUGACCAGAGAACUAUAAGGUAAAGGAGUCCCUGAAGGCUGGAAAGUGUAAGGAUUAAGAGAGGAGGAACCUAGAAAAAGUGAUUUCAUAGUACUGUGUCUAAACCCACAUAAAUCCCAGGCUCAUCCCUGGGCUAUGUGGGACAGAUUCAAAGCAGGACAGCAAAGGCUUUAAGAGCUCAACUAAGACUGAACCACUGCCAAGCCUCAGAAUACCCCAAGUGGCAUAUGCACAGACCAAAAACAGAAAAGAAAUUAAACAGCUUUGGAAAGCAAACUGACAUUGGAGUCACCACCUACAGAGGGCAAAACAGAACUUGCCGUCUGAACCUAAUCAGGGUGACUGCCUGUUUAAAAGCAAGACAAAACAAAAAUCAUUCUUUGAAGGAUUACAUAACAGGAUCCAGAGGGUAUCUAACACAACAUCCACAAUGUCCAGAAUACAAUUCAAAAUUACUUGACAUAUCCCAAACCAAAACCCAAACAGGAAAAGGGAAAAAGACAAUUAACAGAUGUCAACACUAAGAUUAAUCAGUUUGGGAAUCCUCAAUGACUUUAAAGAACCUGUGUAGCUAUAUUCCACAAGGUAAAGGUAAAAUGCACAGGAACAGUAACAGCAACAACCUCAGCAGAGACACAGAAACUAUACAUAUAAAAUGAAUGGAAAUUUUUAACUAAGAAAAUACGAAAUCUGAAAUAAAAAAAUCAUUGGAUAGGCUCAACAGCAGAAUGGAGAUGACACGGGAAAGAGUCCGUAAACCUGAAGUUAGAUCAACAGAGAUGAUGCAAAGAUUUGUGAAUGAACAUGAACAGAGCUUUGGUGACCUACUGGAAAUUUUCAUAAGGCUUAACAUUUACAUGAUUGAGGUUAUCAGAAAGGGAGGAGAAAGAUUAUUAGUUCAGAAAAACUAUGUAAGAAAAUAAUGGCAUGAAACUUACCAAAUUUAGUGAAAGACAUACAUAUACAGAUUCUAAAUGUUUAAUAAACCCCAGACAGGGUUUAAA